UUCAGACCCUUGAUUGGAAUGGCUUGUCUUACUCUUUGGCUUUUCAAAGUGUAUCUGCCUCAAUUCAGUGUCGCUGUGUUCUAACACUAAUUUUCCCUGUAUUUAUUUGUUGUUGUUGUUGUUGUUUGAUAUGGCCU